ACUAAGGAAGGAGAAAGGGAAGGGGCAUAUAGAACAAGUGAUGGGAAGGAGAUGGGAGUAGAUAGGAGUGAUGGGAGAAAGGGGAGGGAAGGGGAAAGGGGAUAUGAGGCUUGGAUAGAAGAUGGGAUAGCUGAGGAAAGAGGAGGAGGAGUAAGAGGAGGAAUAGAAGAGGAGGAGGAGGAAGAAACAGAUUAUGGAAGAGAAGUAAGAAGGAAGGAAGAAAGGGAAAGAAAGGAGAACAACACAAACAAGAAUUGGAAUAAAGAAGAAACAGAGGAAAAGAAGAAGACAAAUCAGGGAAUAACAAACACCAACAACAAGAAGAAGAAAGAAGAAAACUAUGAAAGAAAUGAAGACAAAGAUGAAGAAAGAAAAAGAAAAGAAAAUUACCACGAAAUCAAAGAGGAAAAUAAAGAACAUUGGAGUGAAGACAAAUAUGAAGAAGAGGAAGAAGAGAAGAGGAAAGAACAGGCCUACCAAAAUAAAGAGGAAGAGGAAGAGGAAGAGGAGGAGUACGCUAUUUUGGAUGAGUUUCUGGAUGCCUCGACAAGGGCUCGUCUACGCCAGCUCUCGGGGAAGGUGGCGGCACUGUCCGAGGCACUCCAGCUGGCCCGAGAGGAGUGCCGAGAGCUGGCCAGCAGUAAACGUGAGGCAACCAAGGGAGCGCAGGCAGCUGAGAUGGAGCGUCGCGCCUUGGCCAAGCAGGUGCAGGGGCUGAGGCAGGAGUCGGUGAGGCAGCAGAAGACCAACGCUGAUCUGCGGCUGAGGGUGAAGCAGCUUAGCCAGGAGGGACAGGCGCUGCGGAAGGAGUCUCAUGAAGUCCGCCAGCGAGCCAGCAGCACCACCAGCACCACCACCGCCCUGCACACCCAGCUCACCAGGGCCAGGGGGGAGUGUGCCAGCCUCAGGGGACAGCUCUCGGACACACGGAAGGACCACAGGGAGGAGGUGGAGGAGCUGAGGAGGAGGCUGGAGGAGGCGGAGGAGAGAUGGAGGGAGGUGGAGAGAGAACGGAGGGACUUGAAGACUCUAUGCAAGAAGCAGGAGAGGAUGAUUGAAGUCCUCACUCAGCAAAAGAACCACCUGGCUGCAGCGAAGGUGGUCACCAGCCUCGAGAAGCAGUUCCUGACCACCAUCGCCCCCCUGAACCCCCCCUGAGCCACCCCCUAUGACCCUCUUUGACCUCUCUGUCCCCCCUUCUCUCUCUCUCUUAACCCCAUACAGGUAAGAUAUGCUUGUUACCUGGGUUGGGUACACACACAUACAUACAUACAUACAUACAGGGAUAAACUUAACAGGCAGAUACACACACACACACACACACACACACACACAUCCAGGGGCGUUCCUAGACAUUUUGGGGCCCGGGGGGCUCAUUCCCAUUUGGGGCCCCUCUUAUGGGGUGAGAGGCGAGCACAAUGAGCCAAAGCAGCUGCGGGGUUUAGUGGGGUCUAUAAUGGUCUCCAUGAUUGGAAGGGGGCCCCUGAAGAGCCCUAUUUCUUUGACAUAACAUUUUUGUUACAUUUUUGUUUACAAAAUUGAAAAUUGGGGCCCUUUAGUGAGACCCAAAUUUGUCUUUCGGGUCCAAAUAUAAAUGGGGCCCUUGACCAUUUUGGGGCCACUGAAUUUAGCUUGUCCUCCUGCCAUAGCAGCAAUGGUUAAAUUUCGCAUUUUGGGGCCCCCCUCACUUUGGGGCCCGGGGGGCGAUUUCAAACAGCCCCCCCUCGCCCCCCCCCUCAGGAACGCCACUGCACACAU